rnacentral:rRNA from 1 species
CCUACGGGGGGCAGCAGUAGGGAAUCUUCCACAAUGGACGAAAGUCUGAUGGAGCAACGCCGCGUGAGUGAAGAAGGUUUUCGGAUCGUAAAACUCUGUUGUUGGAGAAGAAUGUAUCUGAUAGUAACUGAUCAGGUAGUGACGGUAUCCAACCAGAAAGCCACGGCUAACUACGUGCCAGCAGCCGCGGUAAUACGUAGGUGGCAAGCGUUGUCCGGAUUUAUUGGGCGUAAAGCGAGCGCAGGCGGUUUCUUAAGUCU